GUUUCUAUUGCCGGUGGUCCAGUAUACAAAGUGUUGAGAGUUAAUAAGGUGACUAAUCAUAAAAUGAGUAGCUAUCCUCCAGUAGAUUUUCAUUUAUCUGUGGAUACCUACGAUGUUGAUCUGGUUGUUGGAAGAGUUAUCAAGAAGUGUAUAGUCGAAAUCCGAAACCAAAUCCAAUUUUAUCCGCCCACGAAGGUCCGUACUUGGAUUUCGAUAGUGUGUAAUGGGAAACCGGAAUAUAGUAUGAACUAUUGAGCAGUCGUCGAAUGAAUUGAACUAUUGAACUAAUAUAUUUUUCCAUUUUGUGGUAUAUACGUUUUAAACUGCAAAAAAGGGUUUGGGUUAUUAUUUUCAAAACUUUACUACAGCCAUUUGUAUUUGCAAGAUUAAUAAUAAAAUUAGAUUCAGAAAAAGUGAAAAAGGUUCAGCGGUACUUGAUAUCUCGUGACAUAAAGCGAAUUAUUAUAUUUUCAGCUUCAUUUCUUAACGAACAAACAAUUCGAUUUGAAAAUUACAAUUUGUUUCGCACCAUUUUAAACAAUUUAUUUACGAUUUAUUUAAUAUGUUUAAUAAUGCAUUCGUAUAUAAAAUAUAGCUAGAAACUACGAAAUUUAUUUUCAACGUAAACUUCAGUCAACAAACAUAAUAAAAUGGUCGCAAUUAAAUUAUUAUUUUUGACCGUUUUCACACUUGUCAACUUGUCAAACGGUGUUAUUCUUGAGGUACCAAAACUACUGAUAGGAGCUCAACGCGAAGCUGCUAUAGCUAGGUUAAAUAAUGGUCUACAGAAGGUAUUUAUUGCAGGUGGUCCUGAAUACAAAGUAAAGAAUGUUCUUUCGGUGACUAAUAAAAUAGUUUCUGGUUUAUCUGUGGAUACUUACGAUGUGAAACUGAUUAAUAAAGGCACUGUCAAGCAGUGCGAAGUCAAAAUCAGGACUCGACCAUUGAAACCGGGAAGCAUCAUAAGCAUUAGGAUCGUGUGUAAUAGAAAACUUGAAUAUGAAGCGAAAUACUGAUCUUCAUUUGAACUACACCAAUAUA